rnacentral:misc_RNA from 1 species
GAUGAAGAACGUAGCGAAAUGCGAUACUUGGUGUGAAUUGCAGAAUCCCGUGAACCAUCGAGUCUUUGAACGCAAGUUGCGCCCGAAGCCAUUAGGCCGAGGGCACGCCUGCCUGGGUGUCACACGUCGUUGCCCCCCCAUCUACUCCUUCGGGAUUGCGGGGGGCGGAUGAUGGCCUCCCGUGCGCCUCGUCGCGCGGUUGGCAUAAAUGCCAAGUCCUCGGCGACGCACGCCACGACAAUCGGUGGUUGCGAAACCUCGGUUGCCCGUCGUGUGCGGUCGUCGCGCAUCGAGGGCUCGAAAAAAUUGCCGGGCUCCGGCUCGGUUUUCAACGCGACCCCAGGUCAGGCGGGGUUACCCGCUGAAUUUAAGCAUAUCAAUAAGCGGAGGA